rnacentral:rRNA from 1 species
AGUGAUCGCUGGCGGUUUGCUUAUCUUAUGCUAGCCGGGCGGCAGCACAGAAAGAGCUUGAUCCUACCGGGCGCGAGCAGUGGACGUGUGUGAGAUUUUCUGUACCCCAUCUUUUUGUGGGCCAAAACGUACGGAAACUUACGCUAAUACUGCAUAAGACCUAGGUGUUAAAGUAGCGGCUCCUCGGACCUUGCGCGCUUGAAUGAGCAGAUCUCGGAUUAGCUAUUCGGCGGGGUAAAGGCCCACCAAGGCGACGAUCCGUAGCUGGUCUGAUGGGAUGAUCAGCCACACUGGAACUGAGACACGGUCCAGACUCCUACGGGAGGCAGCAGUGGGGAAUGUUGGACAAUGGGCGCAAGCCUGAUCCAGCCAUACCGCGUGGGUGAAGAAGGCCUUCGGGUUGUAAAGCCCUUUUGUUUGGAAAGAAAAGCAGCAGGUUAAUACCCCGCUGUUCUGACGGUACCCAAAGAAUAAGCACCGGCUAACUUCGUG